rnacentral:rRNA from 1 species
GCACUUCGGGAUAAGCCUGGGAAACUGGGUCUAAUACCGAAUAGGACCAUUUAGCGCAUGCUUUAUGGUGGAAAGCUUUUGCGGUGUGGGAUGGGCCCGCGGCCUAUCCGCUUGUUGGUGGGGUGACGGCCUACCAAGGCGACGACGGGUAGCCGGCCUGAGAGGGUGUCCGGCCACACUGGGACAGAGAUACGGCCCAGACUCCUACGGGAGGCAGCAGUGGGGAAUAUUGCACGAUGGGCGCAAGCCUGAUGCAGCGACGCCGCGUGGGGGAUGACGGCCUUCGGGUUGUAAACCUCUUUCAGCAGGGACGAAGCGCAAGUGACGGUACCUGCAGAAGAAGCACCGGCCAACUACGUGCCAGCAGCCGCGGUAAUACGUAGGGUGCGAGCGUUGUCCGGAAUUACUGGGCGUAAAGAGCUCGUAGGUGGUUUGUCGCGUUGUUCGUGAAAUCUCACGGCUUAACUGUGAGCGUGCGGGCGAUACGGGCAGACUGGAGUACUGCAGGGGAGACUGGAAUUCCUGGUGUAGCGGUGGAAUGCGCAGAUAUCAGGAGGAACACCGGUGGCGAAGGCGGGUCUCUGGGCAGUAACUGAUGCUGAGGAGCGAAAGCGUGGGGAGCGAACAGGAUUAGAUACCCUGGUAGUCCACGCCGUAAACGGUGGGUACUAGGUGUGGGUUUCCUU